GAUGAACGCUGGCGGCGUGCCUAAUACAUGCAAGUCGAGCGAACAGACGAGAAGCUUGCUUCUCUGAUGUUAGCGGCGGACGGGUGAGUAACACGUGGAUAACCUACCUAUAAGACUGGGAUAACUUCGGGAAACCGGAGCUAAUACCGGAUAAUAUUUUGAACCGCAUGGUUCAAAAGUGAAAGACGGUUUUGCUGUCACUUAUAGAUGGAUCCGCGCUGCAUUAGCUAGUUGGUAAGGUAACGGCUUACCAAGGCAACGAUGCAUAGCCGACCUGAGAGGGGGAUCGGGCACAAUGGAACUGAGAAAAGGGCCAGAAUCCUAAGGGAGGCAGCAGGAGGGAAACUUCCGGAAAGGGCGAAAGGCUGAAGGAGCAAAGGCGGGGUAGUGAUGAAGGGCUUCGGAUCGGAAAACUCUGUUAAUAGGGAAGAACAUAUGUGGAAGGAACUGAGCAAAGCUUGAAGGUAACUAAUCAGAAAGCCAAGGCUAAAUAAGGG
rnacentral:rRNA from 1 species